GAUCAUGGCUGAGGAUGAACGCUGGCGGCGUGCUUAACACAUGCAAGUCGAACGAAGCAUUUAGAACGGAUUACUUCGGUUUGAAGUUCUUUAUGACUGAGUGGCGGACGGGUGAGUAACGCGUGGGUAACCUGCCUUGUACUGGGGGAUAGCAGCUGGAAACGGCUGGUAAUACCGCAUAAGCGCACAAUGUUGCAUGACAUAGUGUGAAAAACUCCUGUGGUAUAAGAUGGACCCG
rnacentral:rRNA from 1 species